rnacentral:lncRNA from 1 species
UUAGAUUCUCUGUCCAGUAGUAGCAUUCUCACUCUUCCUCUCUCUAUAAUGAUUCUUUAGUAGUCCUACUUGCCUCUCUUAAGGGGACAUAUAUAAGGCGCACACUGACUUACGACUUGUAAUACAGUUGUUGUCAUAAAUGGGAACUGUUAGUCCUACGGAUCGGAAAUAAUUCAUGAAAACUACAGCCAAAGGAUUCUUCUCGAGAAUGGAGAAAAUUCUCAAAAACUAAUGCCUUUGCUAUUAAUUAUUUUUUUGUUUUUUUUUGCCAGAUUUUUUUUUUGAAGAUAAUUUUUCUGCCUUGUUUGGAUUAAGAAGCCUGGGGCCAUGUUUGUAGCG